rnacentral:rRNA from 1 species
UACAUAGGGGGCGAGCGUUAUCCGGAUUUACUGGGCGUAAAGGGUGCGUAGGUUGUUUCUUAAGUUUCUGGUGUAAGUGCAGUGCUCAACGCUGUGAUGCUAGGAAAACUGGGAAGCUAGAGUGGGACAGAGGCAAGUGGAAUUCCAUGUGUAGCGGUAAAAUGCGUAAAUAUAUGGAGGAACACCAGUGGCGAAGGCGGCUUGCUGGGUCCAAACUGACGCUGAUGCACGAAAGCGUGGGGAGCAAACA